rnacentral:lncRNA from 1 species
GAUGUCAUGGCCCUGACUUAAAAAGACUUGUUAUGCUGGGAGGUCGGUGUUCGUCACAGAGCUAUAGUGGUGGUGGUAUGGGAACAGGGGUUCUUUAAAUCAAGGAAGCCAUUAGCUGAGCUCUGGCAUCUUUUCAGGUCCUUGACAGCCAUAGAAGGGUUGCGGCGGCGCGGGGGACAGUGGCGGCGCGGGGGACAAUGCGCGGUCGAGUAGAGGGGAGCAGAGAGCCAGGCAGACACUGACUGUGUGCCUGUCGGCUCUAUGAACGGGCAAGUUGUCAUUUUAUCUCUGACUCCUGGCUUCCUCAUCAGUCUUCAUUCAGCUCUCUCUGUUUUCUUGUGUUUUUCCACAGGGUUUGGUAAAGGCUCCAGUGUGGUGGCCUAUGAAGGACAAUCCUGGCACGACUACUGCUUCCACUGCAAAAAAUGCUCCGUGAAUCUGGCCAACAAGCGCUUUGUCUUUCAUAAUGAGCAGGUGUAUUGUCCUGACUGUGCCAAAAAGCUGUAACUUGACAGGGGCUCCUGUCCUGUAAAAUGGCAUUUGAAGCAUACUUUGUGUCCUUUGCUCACUCUCUCUGCACCAUCCAUAGGGCAAGAGUGGGCUUUCACCUCUUUCAAAUUGCUCUUUCUGUCUUUGCUCUCAUUUUACAGUAUUAAUCAACCGAGGACACACAGUGAUCAUAUUAGAAUUUAGAAAAGAGCAACCUCGCAGCAAAAAUAAUUUCUCUGUUGCUGCAAUGGCAAAACAAAAACGUAGACUGACUCUUCUGCAUGUUUCCCAUAGAGCAGAAAAGUGCUAACCAUGUAGCCACUUCAUGAUGCAAGCAAAAAGCAUAGGCGACAAAGUUCCCACUGAGAUGCCUUUGGGGCUCAGUCGGGACGCACUGUGCGGUCACGUGACUGCUGUGCAGGAGUUGCAGCGGCUGCUCCAACUCCCUCCUCGCCUUUUUAAGAACUUGCCAGAAUGCAUGGUUUAACUUCCUUAUCAAAACUCUGACCUCCCUUCUGUUCUUUUGUGCUUUCACACGACUAACACAGAUUUCCAGAGAACUAACAUUUUGAACUUUGCUGUAAUUCUCAAGUGACUUUCCCCCCCUACUAAUGUUUGACUCCCCUAUGUGGCGUGUUCUCUGAGCGUUCCUACUUUAAACCAUGGAACACAGGUGAUUUGGAGCACCUAAGCAGAUCUGAGCAAACAAGCCUGUUUCAGAACAAACUCGCCACGGUGACUACUUCUGGAAGCUUAACAAGACUAACUCUCCUGUCCUUUUUCAUUUUUUUUAAAAAUUUUGUUUUAAUGAGUAGUAAAAUAGUUUAUGGAGUUGGAAACUUGCAUGACAAUAUAUGAGCCUCCUCAAACGUUCCUGCAGUUUUGCGAUUGAUCCUGUAGAAGUGACAAAAGCUCUAGAGUGGCAGCUGAGCAGGCACAGGGCUGUCAUCAACAAGAAUACGUUUCAAAGUAGUGACAAGGUGAAGUCCUUGUAGCAUAACCAUUGUCUGCUCUUUGUCUGCGUUCAGGAAGAGUGCAGAGUCCCUUUCCUUGUGAUUCCUAGAGAACUUUCCCUGCAGAGUUGAGUUAGAUCUCUGGGGCUGUCAGGGUAGCCCUCACCCUUUACAGGCAGGGCUGGGUUUCCUCCUCCUCUGAAAUGCAGGAUUGCCUCCCUGAUCGUACUCUCCAUUAUACCACAUGUAUAACGAGCCAAUAUCAAAGUAAAGAUGUAAUGAAAAUACACUCAUAUAUUACUGUAGGAGUGCUUCUAGAUGCCCACACCUCAUUUCCAUAUUUGUCAUUAGCUGUUUCCAUCGAAUGUUUCAAUGUAUCCUUACAAAAAUAAAGCAGCAUAGAAAGAACA